AAAUAUGAAUAUAUCUUUGAAGGACAGAGCUGGCGUCCUGGAGAGGCAGGGAGCAGUGAGCCCAGGAGUCCUCAGGCCGGCUCUGCUGCCCACCAGGAAGAUGAAGGUCUCUGCAGCUGCCCUCUCCUUCCUCAUCCUUGCUGCUGCCCUUGGAUCCCAGGCCCACGUCACACAUGAUACAGAGAUAAGAAAACUCAUGGUGUCACAGCAUCAGUUUGAACGCCGAAAUCGUGACCACAGUAAAUAUACAAGCUUUCACCUUCCUGCUGACUGCUGCUUCUCCUACACCCAACGAAGCAUCCGAUGUUUAUUCAUGAAAAGUUAUUUUGAAACGAGCAGUGGGUGCUCCCAGCCAGGUGUCAUCUUCCUCACUAAGAAGGGGCAACGUGUCUGUGCCAACCCCAGCGAUGAGCAAGUUCAGGAUUGCAUGAGAAAACUGAAGCGUUCCCCAGUAUCCAAGGACAUGUCAAUAUGACACUUGCUUGAUGGAAGGGGACAAAAGGUGCCAGCCACCCAUAUCCAACUCUCUUGUUCCAACCUCCUAUUCGCACCAUUUGUUUCACGGUAACUGCUUCAUUCUUGGAGACAUUCUUCCAGGACCUUCUAACUUCUUAUUCCAAUUUGGAGAAAUGCUUUCUGCACCUGCCAAAAAUCAUACGGUGUUUAUUCUCAUCACAUGACUGAGUUCAUUCCACCAUGACAUGUAACCCACAGCUUCCUCUUCCUUGGGUUCAUUUUUCAUUUUGCUAGAAUAUAUCCUUGGACUGCCUCCUACUAUAAAAGUUGCAAAGGCAAACACUCUCCCGUGCUCCAUGAGAGCCAGGACAGGCACACCCGACCCAGGCUCGGCCAGUCUGAGGCUCCCUUCCAGAGCUUUGAGCCUGGAGCAAAUGUUCUAAGGAAAAGAGAGGACUCCACGCAGGUGACAGUGGUGGUGGCAACAACUUCCAGAUUUUGGAGGCAGCAGUGUCAGCUCACGCAUCCCAGGACCAGUGCUACAGGUCAGCACUGCUAGUUGCAGCUCACAGCAGAGGCAGCAGCAUCCACACCGGUUGGUUCCUGUGGCAUUGGAGCUGUUCUCUCUAGGUUUCUACCCAUUUUCCAAGCCUUUCUGACAAUUCUGUGCACUACUCAAAAUCUUCACAGUAAAUAA